UACGGGGGGGAGCAAGCGUUUGUUCGGAUUUACUGGGGCGUAAAGGGCGCGUAGGCGGCGUGACAAGUCACUUGUGAAAUCUCCGGGGCUUAACUCGGAACGGUCAAGUGAUACUGUCGUGCUAGAGUACAGAAGGGGCAACUGGAAUUCUCGGUGUAGCGGUGAAAUGCGUAGAUAUCGGGAGGAACACCAGAGGCGAAAGCGGUUAACUGGGUCUAAACUGACGCUGAGGCGCGAAGGCUAGGGGGAGCAAACAGG
rnacentral:rRNA from 1 species